CCAAGGAGUCUAACAUGUGCGCGAGUCAUUGGGUCUUGCUCAGGCCCAAAGGCGCAAUGAAAGUGAAGGCCGGCUCGGUCGGCUGCGUUGGGAUCCCGCCCUCGACGGCGGGCGCACCAACGGCCCGUCCCAGUCGCUGCGUCGACGGGGCGGAGUGAGAGCGUACACGUUGGGACCCGAAAGAUGGUGAACUAUGCCUGGGCAGGACGAAGCCAGAGGAAACUCUGGUGGAGGUCCGCAGCGAUUCUGACGUGCAAAUCGAUCGUCAGACCUGGGUAUAGGGGCGAAAGACUAAUCGAACCAUCUAGUAGCUGGUUCCCUCCGAAGUUUCCCUCAGGAUAGCUGGCGCUCGGAGGAAGCAUUCUCAUCCGGUAAAGCGAAUGAUUAGAGGCCUUGGGGCCGAAACGACCUCAACCUAUUCUCAAACUUUAAAUGGGUGAGAAGUCCGGCUUGCUCGACUGAAGCCCGGACGUGAGGAUGCGAGUGCCCAGUGGGCCACUUUUGGUAAGCAGAACUGGCGCUG
rnacentral:rRNA from 1 species